rfam:Tatumella morbirosei strain LMG 23360 Contig5, whole genome shotgun sequence.
AAAAGUUGUCACCGAUCAUAAAUCUAUGGUAACUCUUUAGGCAUUACUUCGAAUUAAGCGAAUUAUUGUACUUAUUAUGAAAGCCCUUCUACGAGUGAUUAGCCUGGUCGUGAUUAGUGUGGUGGUGAUUAUUCUACCAUCGUGCGGGGCUGCACUCGGAGAAAGAAAGGCUUAGAAAUCAAGUCUUAAUCGAAAGAGAACCCCCGCACCGACAGGUCCGGGGGUUUUUUUUGGUCUUAAGGUCUUACAGUAUUUUAAUGUGGAGCAGAAGAUGAAACCUAGCACAAAAUUCUGUUGUUCCCGGCAAAA